CCGUAGUCUUAUUCCGCUGACGUUGCGCGAACGCAACACUCGCUUUUUCCACAGGAAAAGACCCCCAAUGUCCCGUUCUUCAGCAAAUGAAAACAUUUUGAUAAGUCACAUACAUCGGAUUUCAGGAAGUGCCUUAAUAAUACUAGCAUAAAUCUUGAAAAAUCAGAAAAUAUUAGCAAACUACACCUUUCGUAUUUACGU